rnacentral:rRNA from 1 species
UACGUAGGGGGCAAGCGUUGUUCGGAAUUACUGGGCGUAAAGGGCGCGUAGGCGGCACGGCAAGUCAGGAGUGAAAGGCCUGGGCUCAACCGAGGAACUGCGCCCGAGACUGCUUCUCUUGAGUCCCGGAGAGGAAGGUGGAAUUCCCGGUGUAGCGGUGAAAUGUGUAGAGAUCGGGAGGAACACCGGUGGCGAAGGCGGCCUUCUGGACGGUGACUGACGCUGAGGCGCGAAAGCGUGGGGAGCAAGCGGG